GGAGCGUGGGAAGACUCCAGAAUCCACUCUGGCUGGAAUCCGGUGGAUACAGCAGUGUUACAGAACAGUUCUCCACAGUCACUGUCCACAUGGGUCAGUGGGACCAAGCAGCACUCUGCUAAUGUGUGGACUCUGACCAGCAACAUCCAGCAAGACCCAAGCAGCGUUUUCUAUCUCCCAGCUGGAGUUUUUUGUUUGUCUGUGACUGGAGAGUCAGAUUUUUGUUGAAGCUGGAGGAACAGAGAGUGACUGCUGCUUAUACCACAGGUUAAUACAUGCUACUGAUCCCUGAUGGGAGCAUCUUCACCUCUGCCAACAAAGAAGCCUGGUGGAUAUUUGUUUACAGUCUGAUGAUGGGACAUCAUGCUCUGCAUCUUCAAAGUUUGUCUCUUGAUUAUUAUUCAUACACAGUAAUGUGAAUUAUGCUUAUAUCUAGUAUAACUGGACCAACCUGGUGCUCUUCAUUUAUGGAGGCUGUUGAGUCUGAAUGUUGGAUGCUGUGUAUCUCGUGUUCUCUGGGCUUUGUUGUCCUCAGUCUUUUUGCAGGAUCAGAAAACAAAACCAGGAUGACCAUAAAUGUUUCUUCUCCAAUUGGAUGAUGAUAAGACUGUGACACGGGAUGCCACCUUUAGUCUUGUGAUGAAGCAAAGCUCAGGAAGAAGUGUGAUUAAAUGGUACCCACAUGUGUGCUGCUGAGAAGGAUGUACAGGGGCACCUGCAGCCAAAUCCAAGCCUCCUCAGCAACUUCAGGUCUGUCAGCGUGCUGAGGUCACAGAAACAAGAAAAGCAGCUUCAGACUUCAGAGUGUUGUUUACAGUUUUCUGACAUCAUGAUCUCCCCUGAAGUUUAUCACUAUUAUACAAGCAAGCAGAGCGGCAGUUUGUGCUCACAGAUGGUGACGGUGUGGAGAGACGGUGGUGUUUCCUCAGAAGAACUAGCAGAGUCACAAAGGGCACGAGUCCAUCUCACCACCUUGACUUGUUGAUCAGUGGAUACAAUUGUCUCCCCUUUAAAGGAGAUACUCUUAGAGAGAGACGAUCCGAGUCAUCCUUAAAUAUGGGCAGGAUAUCACUAUUAGACUGUCUAACCUGCAGGAGCAGCACUGAAUGAUCACCACACAUGAUCAGUUCCUGCAACAUUCAGCAGCUCUGCUUUUGUGUCAAAUGUCUAACAGCUGGAGAGGAAACUACACCAGUGUACUGGGAUGUUUCACCAACACGUGCCAGACGCAUGGUGACAUCACCAGAGACGGCCCCGCCCACCUCAGGACCUCGCCAUUGAUCAUGAUGAUUUUAAUGAUGACAGCGAGCGGAACUAAGACUGUAAAAAUCAGAAUGUUUAGAUGCUUUCUAAUUAUUCAUGAAUACUGAGAGCCUCUUUCUGUGUUUUGUCUGUUUUGUUUUUUUUUACCUCAUUUGUUACUAACAAAGUUCACCAAACUCACACAGUUUACAGUCUGUAUGUUUCCAUCUUUACCAGCCACACUCUACCCGCAAUUAAGCAAAUAAUCCUUAGAAAUUGUCGUUUUUCUCUUUUGUAAUUUUGUAAUUCAGUGAAUAUACUGCGCUGCUUCCU